rnacentral:rRNA from 1 species
UUUGACCUCGGAUCAGGUAGGGAUACCCGCUGAACUUAAGCAUAUCAAUAAGCGGAGGAAAAGAAACCAACAGGGAUUGCCCUAGUAACGGCGAGUGAAGCGGCAACAGCUCAAAUUUGAAAUCUGGCUCUUUUAGAGUCCGAGUUGUAAUUUGCAGAGGGCGCUUUGGCUUUGGCAGCGGUCCAAGUUCCUUGGAACAGGACGUCACAGAGGGUGAGAAUCCCGUACGUGGUCGCUGGCUAUUGCCGUGUAAAGCCCCUUCGACGAGUCGAGUUGUUUGGGAAUGCAGCUCUAAAUGGGAGGUACAUUUCUUCUAAAGCUAAAUAUUGGCCAGAGACCGAUAGCGCACAAGUAGAGUGAUCGAAAGAUGAAAAGCACUUUGGAAAGAGAGUCAAACAGCACGUGAAAUUGUUGAAAGGGAAGCGCUUGCAGCCAGACUUGCUUGCAGUUGCUCAUCCGGGCUUUUGCCCGGUGCACUCUUCUGUAGGCAGGCCAGCAUCAGUUUGGGCGGUAGGAUAAAGGUCUCUGUCACGUACCUCUCUUCGGGGAGGCCUUAUAGGGGAGACGACAUACUACCAGCCUGGACUGAGGUCCGCGCAUCUGCUAGGAUGCUGGCGUAAUGGCUGUAAGCGGCCCGUCUUGAAACACGGACCAAGGAGUCUAACAUCUAUGCGAGUGUUUGGGUGUCAAGCCCGAGCGCGUAAUGAAAGUGAACGGAGGUGGGAACCCGCAAGGGUGCACCAUCAACCGAUCCUGAUGUCUUCGGAAGGAUUUGAGUAAGAGCAUAGCUGUUGGGACCCGAAAGAUGGUGAACUAUGCUUGAAUAGGGUGAAGCCAGAGGAAACUCUGGUGGAGGCUCGCAGCGGUUCUGACGUGCAAAUCGAUCGUCAAAUUUGGGCAUAGGGGCGAAAGACUAAUCGAACU